GUGGGGGGAGAGCAGGGGCGGAUCCAGGAUUUGAACAUUGGGGGGGCCAAAACUUGUGCCGCUACAUUCAUUGUCGAUGGUACUCUAAUUACUACAUCAAGCUGAAGCGUCUGAGUAUUCGAAUUGCUUUCCUCUCACAUUCGUGACAUUCUUCACAUGCAGGUACUCCUUAUCUACAACUCUAUUUGCCAUCAAACAAAAAUAUAUAUAGCUUUCACCUGCUCAACUUCACCUAUAGAGCCCAGUAAAUUCUUCACUGUUGACCAACAUAACUCGAUGUUUUUCAGGGGGUCUAUUUGUUGAUCGCAAAAUGCCUCUAUUUGGCAUCCUAUUAUCAAUAUAUACACUAUUUCCAUUCCCUGAAUUUUGUAAUAGCAGAUCUGGAGUUUGUCAAUGUUUUUCUUUGGCUUAGUUUAUCCUUUGUUGAAUGUUCAUUGUAUC